rnacentral:rRNA from 1 species
UACAGAGGUCUCAAGCGUUGUUCGGAUUCAUUGGGCGUAAAGGGUGCGUAGGCGGCGCGGUAAGUCGGGUGUGAAAUCUCGGAGCUUAACUCCGAAACUGCAUUCGAUACUGCCGUGCUUGAGGACGGAGAGGAGACUGGAAUUUACGGUGUAGCGGUGAAAUGCGUAGAUAUCGUAAGGAAGACCAGUGGCGAAGGCGGCCUUCUGGACAGUGACUGACGCUGGAGAACGCGAAAGCGUGGGGAGCAAACAGG